rnacentral:rRNA from 1 species
UACGUAGGGACCAAGCGUUGUUCGGAUUUACUGGGCGUAAAGGGCGCGUAGGCGGCGUGGUAAGUCAGCUGUGAAAUCUCCGAGCUUAACUCGGAACGGUCAGCUGAUACUGCUGUGCUAGAGUGCAGAAGGGGCAAUCGGAAUUCUUGGUGUAGCGGUGAAAUGCGUAGAUAUCAAGAGGAACACCUGAGGUGAAGACGGGUUGCUGGGCUGACACUGACGCUGAGGCGCGAAAGCUAGGGUAGCAAACGGG